rnacentral:rRNA from 1 species
UACGUAGGGGGGCAAGCGUUGUCCGGAAUCAUUGGGCGUAAAGAGCGUGUAGGCGGCCUGAUAAGUCGGCUGUGAAAGUCAAGGGCUCAACCCUUGAAUGCCGGCCGAUACUGUCAGGCUAGAAUCCGGAAGAGGCGAGUGGAAUUCCUGGUGUAGCGGUGAAAAUGCGUAGAGAUCAGGAAGAACACCGGUGGCGAAGGCGCUCUGCUAGGCCGUAACUGACACUGAGGGACGAAAGCUAGGGGGAGCGAAAUGGGAUUAGAAAACCCCCAGUAG